UGCAAGUCGAACGAUGAAGGGAGCUUGCUCCUGGAUUAGUGGCGAACGGGUGAGUAACACGUGAGUAACCUGCCCUUAACUCUGGGAUAAGCCUGGGAAACUGGGUCUAAUACCGGAUAUGACUCCUCAUCGCAUGGUGGGGGGUGGAAAGCUUUAUUGUGGUUUUGGAUGGACUCGCGGCCUAUCAGCUUGUUGGUGAGGUAAUGGCUCACCAAGGCGACGACGGGUAGCCGGCCUGAGAGGGUGACCGGCCACACUGGGACUGAGACACGGCCCAGACUCCUACGGGAGGCAGCAGUGGGGAAUAUUGCACAAUGGGCGAAAGCCUGAUGCAGCGACGCCGCGUGAGGGAUGACGGCCUUCGGGUUGUAAACCUCUUUCAGUAGGGAAGAAGCGAAAGUGACGGUACCUGCAGAAGAAGCGCCGGCUAACUACGUGCCAGCAGCCGCGGUAAUACGUAGGGCGCAAGCGUUAUCCGGAAUUAUUGGGCGUAAAGAGCUCGUAGGCGGUUUGUCGCGUCUGCUGUGAAAGACCGGGGCUCAACUCCGGUUCUGCAGUGGGUACGGGCAGACUAGAGUGAUGUAGGGGAGACUGGAAUUCCUGGUGUAGCGGUGAAAUGCGCAGAUAUCAGGAGGAACACCGAUGGCGAAGGCAGGUCUCUGGGCAUUAACUGACGCUGAGGAGCGAAAGCAUGGGGAGCGAACAGGAUUAGAUACCCUGGUAGUCCAUGCCGUAAACGUUGGGCACUAGGUGUGGGGGACAUUCCACGUUUUCCGCGCCGUAGCUAACGCAUUAAGUGCCCCGCCUGGGGAGUACGGCCGCAAGGCUAAAACUCAAAGGAAUUGACGGGGGGCCCGCACAAGCGGCGGAGCAUGCGGAUUAAUUUCGAUGCCA
rnacentral:rRNA from 1 species